CCGCUGCCUCAGCGGCAACAUGGAGGGGCCAAGGCUUUGAAGAUCGUCUAACGACACUGCUUUCCACCCUAGCCCCACCGCCAGGGCACCGACCCGCGGGGAUUGUUGGCGCAGGCU
rnacentral:SRP_RNA from 13 species